GGAAUGGCACCAGCCGUUUUCCAAAAAUCUUACCAUGUCUUUUGAAAAGCCCUCAGAGGAUAUCGCCGUAAUGAUUACUUUCGGUGUAUUUGGUAAGGGAUAGAGAAGAUUGUGAACGCUUUCAAAAAGGAUAGAACGAUUAGAAACGGAUAUUUGCGGAUAUUUUCUCCCACUUCUCUUCAUCCUGUCAACAAACUGUCAAGUGAGCUGUCAAAUGUAAACAAAAACAAAUAAUUUGGAUAGCUUUAGCUUCUUGGGGUUCCACUUCGGAUUCCAUUACCAAAGUUUCUCUCACGGUUCCUCUAUACAAAAUAGUGCAACUGCCAGUAAUUUAAGGGCACUUUAACAAAUUUUAGAGUGCCGUUUUAUUAAUUCCACCGUGAUAGAUUUCACUUGAGAUUGAGCAGUAUGAUUCGCUAACCUGUGUCAAUCGAAAAAGCAGUAAGCGGUCCUACGGGUUCUACUCCUCCAUAUCAUCCUCCGCGCUCCAUCAUCGGGAACGGAACGGCGGAACGGACCACAACACAUCCUCUACCGAGUCCUCUACCAACACUACUGACGAUAGGUUCCGAAACAGUCCCGGAAGUCACCCGUCAACAGUGACAAUAGUGGAAUUAGUCUAUGGAAGCAUCUCAACGUCGGUUGUUCGCCAUCCGGUGCCUCCUUCUCCUGGCCAUGAACCACCUUCCGAACGAUUUCGUCACUGCAGAUCGAUAACACCAGCAGUAAACAAGACUGACGGAGAGUAAUUUCAUCCCACUACUUGAAAUGCCUGAGAACCUCGGCGAUCCCACCUCCUAACCUAGAUCACCUACCACCAUCCAAGAAACGCUGUACCGAGUACAGGCAGCAGCGGAAGACCAUGCAGAACAACCAGAAGUUGAAGAAGGUCACUGGUCUAGUCAACCGCCAUCAGUCACAGCACGGUGCUACUUCCUCACCACCACACAUCCACCCAAAGCUGAAACGAAGGAGAUAGACUGCCAGACCCUCAGCUCCGGCGACAAAUCUGGCCAGCUGCGGCUUGAGUGGGACGAAGAUUCUGGCUUGGAUUCUGGUACAACAGCAGCAUUGCGUGAAAAUCUGAUAGGGCGGAGAACAGUUGAGUCUCGGAAGGGCAGCCGUCUACCAGCAGAAGCGAGGGAGACAGGUGGAUCAUGUGAAAAAUAGUCGAACGGGUGACCUAUUCGUCAGCUUAUUUUUUGGACGGGAUCUUGAUU